rnacentral:rRNA from 1 species
UACAGAGGGUGCAAGCGUUAAUCGGAAUUACUGGGCGUAAAGGGCGCGUAGGUGGUUACUUAAGUGAGAUGUGAAAUCCCCGGGCUUAACCUGGGAACUGCAUCUUAUACUGGGUAACUGGAGUGCAGUAGAGGGUAGUGGAAUUUCCGGUGUAGCGGUGAAAUGCGUAGAUAUCGGAAGGAACACCAGUGGCGAAGGCGGCUACCUGGACUGAGACUGACACUGAGGCGCGAGAGCGUGGGGAGCAAACAGG